CAUAGAAUAACCCCUCGCAUGCACUGGAGCUGCUUCAUCUCAUCUCUGCGAUCUCUCCCUCGGAAAUCCAAGCUUCAUCUGUGUCCCCAGAUCGGAAUUUGGGCGUCUCAUCUUUGCCCAAGCCAAAAUGCAACAGCCAUCGGAGAGGAGAUAGAGAGACAGCGGUGCUUCGAAGGCAAAAAAGGUGUCAGUUCAGAAGACUAGGCCGAAGCUGACCUCGCCUACGUCCUCCGCCACUUCACUCGCGCUUUCAAGUACCGUGGCCUCGGAAACGAGUUUUUGGAGGUUAGAGAUUUGGGGAACUUAAUUGGGUUGUACACCGAAUGGCACUCACGUUUGCUCCCAUAUUAUUCUUUUGAUCAGUUUGUUCAUGAGAUGAGGUCAAACAGGUUGCCGCCACUAGACAAGUAAAAAAAAUUGAGAGAAAGAGUUGCAAGUGGAGGAGACCCGACAAAGUUGCAUG